rnacentral:rRNA from 1 species
GAUGAACGCUGGCGGCGUGCUUAACACAUGCAAGUCGAACGAAGCACUUGAAACAGAUUCUUCGGAUGAAGUUUCCUGUGACUGAGUGGCGGACGGGUGAGUAACGCGUGGGUAACCUGCCUCAUACAGGGGGAUAACAGUUAGAAAUGGCUGCUAAUACCGCAUAAGCGCACGGCAUCGCAUGAUGCAGUGUGAAAAACUCCGGUGGUAUGAGAUGGACCCGCGUUGGAUUAGCUAGUUGGCAGGGUAACGGCCUACCAAGGCGACGAUCCAUAGCCGGCCUGAGAGGGUGGACGGCCACAUUGGGACGGAGACACGGCCCAGACUCCUACGGGAGGCAGCAGUGGGGAAUAUUGCACAAUGGGGGAAACCCUGAUGCAGCGACGCCGCGUGAGCGAAGAAGUAUUUCGGUAUGUAAAGCUCUAUCAGCAGGGAAGAAAAUGACGGUACCUGACUAAGAAGCCCCGGCUAACUACGUGCCAGCCGCCGCGGUAAUAC